rnacentral:lncRNA from 1 species
AAGGAGAGGUUAGUGCCAUUGUUCCGAAAGAAAUGAGUACGAGAGACAAAAGGAGAAAGAUAGCGGAAAAAGAAAGGAACAAGGAAUUUCGCUGGAGGGAAUGAAAUAUGAACUAGAGAAAUAUAAAAGACAAGAAGAAUGAGAAGCUUGAGGAAGAAGAAAAGGCCGACGUAUUGAACCGUUGCAUCAAAGCGGGUUCCGAGGUCGGCUGUGAUGAUGAAUAGACAGCGGCAAUUAAGAUGACUUAAUUAAUGCCGCAUAUAAGACAAAGUUAGAAAGUACGAUCGGGGCCGUAAGAAAGAAAAUAAGCGGCCAGGAUUAAACAGUACAAAAGAUUGUGUUACGGAUUAUAUCAGGGAAUUUUAAAUUUGAUUGGAUCGAGGACUAUACCUCAGAUCGCGCUUAUUGUUGAAGCAGGAUUAGGGCAACAAGAAAUUAGAGGGUUGAGACGAAACUAUA